UACGGAGGGUGCAAGCAUUGAUCGGAUUUACUGGGCGUAAAGGGCGCGUAGGCGGUUGUGUAAGUCAGAUGUGAAAUUCCGGGGCUCAACUCCGGAGCUGCAUUUGAAACUGCACAGCUAGAGUACAGUUAGGGAAAACGGAAUUCCACGUGUAGCGGUGAAAUGCGUAGAUAUGUGGAAGAACACCGGUGGUGAAGACGGUUUUCUGGGCUGUGACUGACGCUGAGGCGCGAGAGCUAGGGGAGCAAACAGG
rnacentral:rRNA from 1 species